rnacentral:miRNA from 14 species
CCCCGCCCCCUCCAGAGGCGGAGGCGGAGGCGGAGGCGGAGGCGGAGGCGGAGGCGGAGGCGGAGGCGGAGGCGGAGGCG